rnacentral:rRNA from 1 species
UACGGAGGAUGCGAGCGUUAUCCGGAUUUAUUGGGUUUAAAGGGUGCGUAGGCGGACUAAUUAGUCAGCGGUGAAAUUUUGCGGCUCAACCGUAAAACUGCCGUUGAAACUGUUAGUCUUGAGUGCGGUAGAGGUAGGCGGAAUGUGUGGUGUAGCGGUGAAAUGCUUAGAUAUCACACAGAACACCGAUUGCGUAGGCAGCUUACUGGAGCGCAAACUGACGCUGAGGCACGAAAGCGUGGGGAUCGAACAGGAUUAGAUA